rnacentral:lncRNA from 1 species
AAGAACUCACAUUCUCCCAACUCACACUAAACUUAUUCACUCUCUCUCAACACAAGAGCUCUCAUCCUCUUACCACUCAUACUAUUACUACUCUUAAAGAAAUUAAGAUUCCGGUGUUCUUCUUUAUUACUACUUGGCUACUUUGCUUUGUUGAAAUAGAAGUUUGAUCAACUCGUUCUCAUUGCUACCAACCUUUUUUCUCAACCGAUUAGUAUUCCUUUCGCAUUCAUACAUUUACGAAAGUUUAUUGUUCUAUUUCCCUAUAUAUAUAACUUGUUAAACAAUUGCAUAUCUAUCUUAUCUUGUCUAAAUAAAUGUGAUUACUUGUGUAGCUAUUAUAUAUUAAAAACUUUUUAAAAAGAUUCGGGGAUUCACAUUUAUAUCUUAGGAAGGGGUUAAACACCCAAAAUAUCAGCUUAAUUGCGGUUACCGACAACUAACUCUAUAUGGCUAAAAAUUUAACUUGAUUUUAUUUUGGGGUAAAAAUUGUUUAGAGCUUGUUUUGGAAAUGAAUACUUAGUUUUUAUCUAAAUUAAACAUAUAACUUGAAAGUUAUUUUAGAACUAUUUAAACUUGAUUCCAUUUUAAAGUGUUAAAACAUUACGGCGCUUCCAGGGAAUCGGAUUCUUUUAACUUUAAAACUAACAGUCACGAAUAGAAAAAGACAAGAAAACAAAAAAAGAGAAAGAGAGAGAGAUAUUUGGAUUCAAAUCCGGGUUUCCUGUCCGCCUUGACCGGAAUUUUGGACCUACCUAUUUUGAGUUUUUUGGCCCAUUCGACUUUUUGGAUUUUCGACCCAUUUUUCUUUCGUAUCUGUCCUAGACUAAACAUACAAAAUUAAUAAGUACGAAAAGUAAAAGAUGACAAGGGCUUAGGCCUGAAAAAUAACAAAAUACAAUAAGAAAUGAACAUAUAAAGUGGGCCUCCUUUGGCCCAACUUCUUCAAAUCUUUUUCAAUCCUUCCAACUCCGGAUCGGUACACCGUUUUAAAUCUAUUCUUUCGAUUUCUAGACAAUAUAUUCGGUGAAGGAACUAUGAGUCUUUUGUCUCUGCUGAAAUGCGAGGGAGAGAGUCUCCCGGAACUCAGGAGGACUGGUCCAACAUAAAAGAGAAUGAAAUAAAUAACGAUUAGUAACAGAGCAUAGUUCAAUUAUAGAUAACACAACCAAUGUCAAAAAAAUAAAAAAAAAUAAAGAACAAGACGGAUAAAUGCAGCUAGCUAGUUCACUGUUAAGUUGUGAAGGUGACAAGGAAGAGUAUACACAUCCAAACGAAUUCUGCUUUUAAAAUUACAGUAACUCCCAUAUAAUAAAGUAGAAUACAGGAAAAGAGACUAUAGACAUGCAAUUGAACUAGCAACUAAGGAACUGAUUAGCGGAUUCAUGCAAGAGAAGAAACAUAAAGAAAAUAUAUGCUAGCAUUUACUUGUGAUAACAGUAGUAUAUAAGCAUAUAAAUUCUAAUUGAUCUAAUCAAUGCUCACUGAUCACAACCUUUCUAAUAUAAAACUUAAUUGGCAGCAACUAUUUGAAAAAGAGAAACGAACAUAACUCAAAUUAGCAAACACAUAUGGGAGAUACAAGAAUGAGGGAGUGUUGUAUCUUGAAGAAGUGCCUACCCAGGCAGAACAUGAAGUCCGAUCAAUUUAUCGCACACAAGAUAUAUUUCGAAUAGACAACAUGAAAGGGAAAUAACACGAUCAAAACAAUCACCUACGAAUUCAAAACACCAAAUAUAAAACAUUAAUUGAACUCUAGAUGCUGACGUCUUAUUUCUUUUCCAUCUGGUAAUGUGAGAGCGAAAAGAGUGAUCUGAAAGCGAAAAAAACAAUAACGAGCUAGGAAAGAGCCUAAAGAACUGAUAACCAAAACUCAGGGAGGCAACAAAACAAUGCAUAACAACAAACCCUCAAUUCGAAUCCAUUAACCCAAUCUGAUGGAAGAACGGAGGAACAGUGACAUGGGCUAGGGGAAAGAGAGACUCAAAAUCAAAUCAGACGCACAAGAACAACAAAUCUCGAUGGACCAUCGAAUGCAGUAAAUAAGCAGGAAGCCGUCAAGAAUCAUUAAAGAGUAACUCCAAGUAAAGACUAUAUCAUAUUAACUCGAAAUUUGGUAGAAUAAUAGCUGGACCAACGAGAUAUAAUUAGCAUUCAACUACUUAAACUAGUCAAGAAAAUGGAAUCCUUCAUUUUUUGAAUAAACAAAUUCACUGAAUCAGUGAUCAUAACAAGCACCCUAGAAAUCAUAAAUUUAAAUAAAGUCUAACCUUACAGAUUAUUAUUUUAAAUUUCAAGGAAAAAUAUGUCGAAAAAGGGGGGAAAGAACAAAUUUUCAAGCAGCUACACGACUUAAAAAGAAGAAGAAAAUAAUGGAGAGAAACUCAUACCAAACAUGAAAACUAGACAAAAGGCAGCAUACUAGAUCAAAAUGUGAAGAAAAUCAGCCAUAGCAUCCAAAACAGCCAGUGUAAAACGUCAAACGAAACCGAAACUAAACUAUCUGGAUCCACUCUUAACUUGAGGUGAAGCAUAAAAGAGGUGACAUCAAACAAACUCCAAACACACAACAAACAUAUAUCAGGUGGAAAAUAAAGCUAACUCGAAAACAAAACAACAACGAGACGAGUUAAGAUAAGAGAAGGAGAGUUUCACCUUUUUCCGGUAAGCGAACUUGGACGAAACUAUUUCCGGUAAGCGAACUUGGACGGAACUGUUAAAGAAUGAUAAAAGUCCCACAUCGGUGAUUAAUGAGAUGGGUGGACUGUUUAUAAGGCUUGGACAAUCCUCCUCCCUUUGAGCUAGCUUUUGAGCUGUGAGUUAGGCCUAAAACCUAAUUUCACAUGGUAUUAGAGUGCGUUUCACCCGAUCCAACAUCGGUGAUUAUUGAGAUGGAUGGACUUUUAUAAGGCAAUCCUCCUCCCUUUGUUCUACGAGAACUCAAACUAGAACAAAAAUUGAGGACUUUAAGCAAAAUAUCGGACUCAAACCCCAAAAAAUAAAAACCUGAUUUCUUUUCCGUUUCAUCCUGAAAACGUGUUUUUGUCCCUCUUUGCUACUUUCAUGAAUCUGUAUAUAUAUUUUGUUUUCUACGAUUCAACUCAAAAAUCUUGAAAUAAAUUUUCCUUCCCUUUUGUUCUAUAAGCUUUGUCAACAAAAUUUUCCUCCCUCUCUGUGCCUUCAACUCAAAAAAUUCCCCUCCCUACUAAAAAUAAACAGAAAACUACAUUAUAUAGAGGAACCAACUAGGGUUUCGGAAAUGGGAAAAAGGCUGAAAAACCAGAUAAGAACAAAGCCCAAUUUGAGUUUUUUUUUCGAAUUUUCUCCAAAAGCAGAGGAAUAGCAGGUGCUUGUAGGAAAUCUCUACAAUUACUCAACAAAUUCCAACGUCUCAUUAAUGAGAGUCGUUCGAGCUCGAGGUAAGGACAGAUGCAGCUUGAGAUCGCAACACCUAGACGAUGAAGGACGACUGGCAGGCUGCUGGUUGUACAAAAUUCGUACGGGCCUGGAAAAUGGACGCGUCUCCUGACAUGGAGACGUUGGAGCGUCGCUCACGCGUGGAGAGAAGGCGAUGCGUGCAGGAUUGCCUGCUAAUCGUUGUUCACGUAAAGCCGUGCAUUCAUUGAAUUUUAUGCGUGGCGAAGAAGAAAAUAACGCUCUCCUUCUUGAUGGAAGAAGACUGUUUGAUCGGGUUGGAAGGAGAAAAUAGGCUGGGCGGAUUAGAGUUGGACUUGAGGGAGAAGUUGGGCUGGGUCAUUUGAUGAUUUGCUAAAACAGAUGGGAAUUGGGUUGGGG